GCAAGUCGAACGGUAACAUUUCUAGCUUGCUAGAAGAUGACGAGUGGCGGACGGGUGAGUAAUGCUUGGGAACUUGCCUUUAGGAGGGGGAUAACAGUUGGAAACGACUGCUAAUACCGCAUGAUGUCUACGGACCAAAGUGGGGGACCUUCGGGCCUCACGCCAAAAGAUUAGCCCAAGUGGGAUUAGCUAGUUGGUAAGGUAAUGGCUUACCAAGGCAACGAUCCCUAGCUGGUUUGAGAGGAUGAUC
rnacentral:rRNA from 1 species